AGCGAACGCUGGCGGCAGGCCUAACACAUGCAAGUCGAACGAACCUUUCGGGGUUAGUGGCGGACGGGUGAGUAACACGUGGGAACGUGCCUUUAGGUUCGGAAUAACUCAGGGAAACUUGUGCUAAUACCGAAUGUGCCCUUCGGGGGAAAGAUUAAUCGCCUUUAGAGCGGCCCGCGUCUGAUCAGCUAGUUGGUUGAGGUAAUGGCUCACCAAGGCGACGAUCAGUAGCUGGUCUGAGAGGAUGAUCAGCCACAUUGGGACUGAGACACGGCCCAAACUCCUACGGGAGGCAGCAGUGGGGAAUCUUGCGCAAUGGGCGAAAGCCUGACGCAGCCAUGCCGCGUGAAUGAUGAAGGUCUUAGGAUUGUAAAAUUCUUUCACCGGGGACGAUAAUGACGGUACCCGGAGAAGAAGCCCCGGCUAACUUCGUG
rnacentral:rRNA from 1 species